GAGGGUUAGAGGCUAGGAUGCUGCUUGGGAUAAGAGGUGUAAGAACUCUGACAUUGCUGCUACAUGCAGAUGUCGUGUGAAGGAUCGAGGAGGCGGCAGGAGGGAAAGGACAUUUUGCCAAACGCAGCGAACUCGGAGACACUGCGGCCUUCACACUCUGUCUGCAUUAAGGAUCAUCUUCAGGACCAUCUAAGGAAAAACAUGACAGCUGCUGAUGUAAAGCACUGGCAUGAGCGCUUCAAAUCCUCUGCCUGGAUGCAUCCACAAACAUUCGGCACAAUUUAUCGCUCCAGCAAAUGCCGCGAGGUACAUGCCAGGGUCGACAUUUGUAGAGAUGUGACAAUUGUCGUUGGUCACGUAAGAACAGGUUUGUACCCUGUGUACCUACAUCCGUGUACCCUCUGCCACUUUGCUUGCUCCCAGAAGUAAUACUGCAUCUGAUAAUCAUAGACUAAAGAGCACGUUCAUCUCAGCUGAUCAGAUCUGUGAUCAUUAUUGUAUUGUGAAAGUCUGACAUUGCGACAUUGUGUGAAGUGAUUUGGGGUGGAAGGGUUAGAUGUUGAAUGAAAUGCAGAAUAGCCACUCCAUCAUGAAGAUAGAUAUACAUGAUAAAAUCCUGAUACAAAACCGGCUUCACACAGUCCAUAUGUCAGACUUCGUUCAAGAAUCAUUUCAAAAAUCCCAAACAGUUUUCCCCGUUGUCAUUGACGUAACGUGUAACUGUCAUGUGUAACUGCCAUCUCUGAAAUGUCGGUUUUCUACCGUUUGACAUUUUUCUCUUCUUCGGAAAGGAAUCCAUUCAAGUCUUUGCUUACCGCAUUCUCCCACCGUCAAGUGGUUUUUCAGUGUUUUAUCAAACAUAUGUUGUUCGUUCAUGUUCAUAGAGGAGAAGAAGUCUAUCACUUUAACACUAGUGUUUUAUGAUGUUGUGUCGUUGUACAGGAGCUGUUUUUUGUCUCUUGUUUUCAUACGAUCUGCUCUUUUACUGUGUUCUACUUGGCUUUGUUGUGUCAGAAGCUCACUGUCAGUCAUCUGGAGAACAUUAGGAUUAUAUCCUUGGGAUUAUAGACAGAUAGUUAGACGGGGGAAUUGAAGACAAACAGGAACGUAACGUUAUUCCUUUUUAGGGUGCAACUAAACCACCUUCCUGUCUUGACUUCGCCGCAGGCAUUUAUUCCAGUCCUGUUUUGAGGGAGGAACAUGCCGUCUGAGUAGGAGGAUCAAUACAUACUGCAUGUUUGCUGUUUUGUUUUCUCUAUACGGAGAGCUGGAUCCAAACCGCAUCGUAAAAGUAUUGCAGAAAAUCCGAGUUUUAGGUCGAUUUAAAUUUAAUGUCAAUAUUCCCGCAUUCACAUAUGUCGGCUCAAUCUGAAAUGACCUUACAAAUGUCAUCCAUUUUGUGUACAUUAGGAUGUGCUAUUCUAUUAUCUGCGGUAUGUCUUUAACCAUGCCUGUACCCUUCUUGUAAAUGCCGGCCCAACUCUGCCCUAUGGAAUUGUUCUUACUGCAUUACUGUUAUUCUAGUCCUGGGAGUAACUGAUCAACUGAUCAACUGUUCUUGUUGCACAUCUGCAAUAGGAAGGACCCCAUUAACCUAAUGCCCAUUGGCAACUUCUGAUAUUGACAGAAGAUGAUAUGAACAUCCACGCUCUCUCUGAACUGUUUAUUUUUGGAAGUCAUUUUCUUAGCUGUACGGGCGGUAACUAAUUUCCUACCCAUUAAUUCAUGUUGUUCAUCUUUUAUUUGUUUGAUAGAUUGUUUGCAUUUGUACUUUUUAAUUCAGGAGCAUUGUAAAAGAAAAUGUAAAUGUGUUUUUUGGAGGGGGGGGGGG
rnacentral:lncRNA from 13 species